AUCGCCUUCUCGGCCUUUUGCCAAGAUCAUGUAGUAUCUGUUCUUAUCAGUUUAAUAUCUGAUAUGUCCUCUAUAUGAGGACUACAUAUUAAGCAGAUUUUUGGCAUGAGGGACAGAAAUUUGAGCUUGUCCUUUCUCUCCAAUGAUCGACUAGCAUUGCAGAAAAGCAGCUGGGAACGGUGGUGCCUCC